AAUGAACGCUGGCGGCAGGCCUAACACAUGCAAGUCGAACGAAGCCUUCGGGUUUAGUGGCGGACGGGUGAGUAACGCGUGGGAACAUGCCCAAAGGUACGGAAUAGCCCUGGGAAACUGGGAGUAAUACCGUAUGUGCCCUUCGGGGAAAGGAUUUAUCGCCUUUGGAUUGGCCCGCGUUGGAUUAGGUAGUUGGUGGGGUAAUGGCCUACCAAGCCGACGAUCCAUAGCUGGUUUGAGAGGAUGAUCAGCCACACUGGGACUGAGACACGGCCCAGACUCCUACGGGAGGCAGCAGUGGGGAAUCCUUAGACAAUGGGGGGAAACCCCUGAUCUAGCCAUGCCGCGUGAGUGAAGAAGGCCUGG
rnacentral:rRNA from 1 species